UUUUUUUUUUUUUUUUUCUGUACAUGGAAUUGGCUGAUGGGCCAACGUGAUGGAACCUCCUUCCAAUAAUCAUGUAUGUAUCGGAAAAUUCCUUUGAGAUAUCAAAUAGUAAUUUGAUAAUUUGACUCCUUUCCUCAAUCUUACAUUCAUGGCAUUUAUGUCUUUAACAAAUAGGUAAUUUAGGGAACUCAAAUUUUGCAGCUUGUAAUGGAAUGGAAGGAAAACAAAAUCAAAACAAAAACAUGCGAUGCACCCAAUCACAAGAAAUUAUCAAUAACUUCGAAUUUUGAUAUGCAUCAAUAACAUCCAAUGCAAUGAAUGAUGGCAUAUCAUAAAAAAAACAACAUUCUUCCUUGACAUAAAGCCAAAUCCAUAAAGAUAUGUGGAAAUUAAUUAGCAUUGCAUGUUUCAGAUUUAGAAUCAAAUAAAAAUGGCGAACAAGUGAUGAAAGCACAAAAAUCACCCGCAUUGUCAACGCCAUUGAUUAUCAAUGAAAAAGAAUGCAAUACAUCAAAAUCAAACAUAGUAAUAACAAUUUGCAUUUCAUCUUCUCAUUAUGUAGUUAUAAUCGAAACAAAAGGUAAAAGGCAUACAUUCAAAUUCCCAAAACUUACAAUGAAUUAACCCUAAAACAGGCUACCAUCAUCCCCGCUAACAAUCGAGCCCCAAGCUCUGUUAAAAAUUAAAGAUUUUCGGAGAGAAACCUGGAUAUUGACGCAAUCUUUUUCUUCUUCGUACAAAAAUCAUCUUCGCCCGGGUUCUAAUUAGAUUUACGAUAACGUUCCUCGACUUGCUUGGCCCUCGUUAGGGUUUGAUUUACGAGAUUUUUAAUAUCUGGGACAUAGUAAUUUUGAGCAACAUAGAUUCCGAACAAGGUUCCGAACAUGAAUGAGAAAUUUCUUACGAUUAAACCCAUCUUUAAGCAGUUGAUUGGGUCGUUUGGAAGUCAAAAGAAAUUGUAAACGUUGUGGGUAGAUUCAGAAAUCAGAACCUGAAAACAAAUUCAUGAAUAAAGAAAUUGAAAUUGACGAUAUUUUACUUUGACUUUUUCCUUUGUCGUCGUGGAAGAAAUUUGAAGCUUAAAAAUCAAAUAUCUAUUUAUCGUAGACAAUACGAAGAAAAAGGAUGGGGAUAAUGUUCCUAGCAAUUCGUUUUUGGUUUAAAAUGUUUUUAAUUGUUAUAUGAUUAUAUCAAGUUUAUAUAACAAUUAAGAAAAAGGACAAAGAUUUUUACUUGGUGCAAACUGAUUUGAGGUUCCAAACCAAAUAAAAAAAAGGCUUUUACAGUAAAAACAUAUUAAUAAAUGUAACAUCUUCAAAAUACUGAGACAAAAUUCAAUUUUAUUAUAUACAAAACAUUCAUUCAUCUUUAAUUAAAACAUUUAAAAAUAUAAGGGUAAAACAAUUAUCAGAGUAUAUUUCCAAAAUCACGAAUUGUAGAAAAC
rnacentral:lncRNA from 1 species